GGUCGGGUCCUGUGCGACGGGUGCCCGUGAAUCAGGUCAGGUCCGGAAGGAAGCAGCCUUCAGCGGAAACAUUCGUGUGCUGCAGGUCGCCUGGCCGCU
rnacentral:SRP_RNA from 1 species